CAAGACUAAACUGUGCUUGCUAUACUAAAAUUGGAAUGAUACAGAGAAGAUUACCAUGGUCCCU
rnacentral:snRNA from 1 species